rnacentral:rRNA from 1 species
GUGAGGAAUAUUGCGCAAUGGAGGCAACUCUGACGCAGCCAUGCCGCGUGCAGGAAGAAGGCGCUACGCGUUGUAAACUGCUUUUAACCGGGAAGAAACCCCAGGACGUGUCCUGGGUUGACGGUACCGGAGGAAUAAGCACCGGCUAACUUCGUGCCAGCAGCCGCGGUAAUACGAAGGGUGCAAGCGUUAUCCGGAUUCAUUAGGUUUAAAGGGUGCGUAGGCGGAGCGUUAAGUCAGUGGUGAAAUCCUGCAGCUUAACUGUAGACUUGCCAUUGAUACUGGCGCUCUUGAGUGCGCUUGAAGUGGGCGGAAUGUGCCGUGUAGCGGUGAAAUGCUUAGAUAUGGCACAGAACACCAAUUGCGAAGGCAGCUCACUAAGGCGAUACUGACGCUGAGGCACGAAAGCGUGGGGAUCGAACAGGAUUAGAAACCCCGGUAGUCC